AUCCGAUGGGAUUAAAAGGGAAUGCCGUGAAAACCGGCGACAGUUCCCGCUGCUGUGAGUUCCAGCCCCUUGUGAGGGCAUAACGAUUCCAAUACUCUUUUGCCACUGGGUAAUACUGGGAAGGCGUUGGAAUCGGGACGAGUCAGAAAACCUGCCUGUGCCUAUG
rnacentral:ncRNA from 1 species